UACGAAGGGUGCAAGCGUUAAUCGGAAUUACUGGGCGUAAAGCGUGCGUAGGCGGUUUGUUAAGUCUGUUGUGAAAUCCCCGGGCUCAACCUGGGAAUGGCAAUGGAUACUGGCAAGCUAGAGUGUGUCAGAGGAUGGUGGAAUUCCCGGUGUAGCGGUGAAAUGCGUAGAGAUCGGGAGGAACAUCAGUGGGCGAAGGCGG
rnacentral:rRNA from 1 species